UGUGAAUUAUAAAUAUUUUCAUUCUUUUGAAAGCAUAGAUAGAAAACCUCAGAAAUGCUAAUGUUAUUUUAAAUAGAUUAGAUUAAUUGAAAAAAUAUAGGUUUAAAAUUUAUAUAAACAUACAAGACGUGCAUACAAGUUGACUAUAAUUUUGAUCAAACAUAGCAAGGUCCAUGAAAUGAGGAUUUGCAAAAAUGUUUGGACUAUAUGACCACAAUUGCUACCUUGUCAUUGAACAUGCUUAGUAGAGCUGAAAGUUUUCCAUAUAUUGUUUGCGGUGGAUGCAUUUUCUAUCAGUAUUAUUUUAUAUUCUGCUAUUGUUUAAAAUAUAUUCUAUCAACUGUACCGUUAUACUGAGAUUGGAAGUUAUAGUAUAUCUCAGUCAAUUUUAAAUUUUCUGCUUUUUAUAAAGUACCAACUCACUCCUUCCCUUUGUACCUUAUUUCACAAAUACACAAAUACAAUCAAAAAUGGAAAAUGGUUUGAAUGCCCCAGAAAUUAUACUGAUAAAUAUAUUUCUUCAGAUUAAUAUCCCCUCUAAAUAUAUCAUUACCAUUGCAGAUAAGGACAUUUAUCCUUUUUAAUUUAAAUGUUAGAAUUUUUUAGAAUUAAAAUGGAAUCCUGUAAAGUAGUUGAGUCAACAUAUCAAUAUAUCAGCAAAGAUAGAACAUUAAAAAUCAGAAAUACAAUGUUUACAUCAGAUCUUAAAUUGUAGAACAGACAUGGUUCAUCACACUAAAAACACAUUUAUUGGCUUAAUAUAAUAUUUGAACUUAGCCAUUGUGAUUUGUUUCGAAAUAUAUCUAAAUUCUUGUGAAGUGCCAUCAGGUUCAGAAACAAAAUAUUGGAUUUUAUAAUAUCUACACCCAGUUCACAAAUUGUGUUUUCCUGUAUAAUUAACUCCAAACCAACGGUUUUAUCCAAUAAUAUCCCAUCUAACUAAAGCCUUCAUUUAAAAGCAUGAGAGAUGGUGUAGAGGAAUAGAGGAGAGCACAGCUUCCUAAGAAUAUGAACUAAAUGGUGUCAGAAGGAAUAAUUUGUAUAAUUUUUGAAAUUAGAUGUGUCCAACCCAUAUGUACACACACAUAAAUAAACAAGACUUUGCUUAUUUUGCUUUGCUUAUCAUAAUCCAGUGAAAUUGAUGCUCUUUUAAACAUAGUAUUUCCUAUAAACCAUCAGAGACUGAAAUAUUCUGUUUCUAAAAAUGCUACGCUGAGUUUACAGCCUGUAAUGCAUAAUACAAAAGAGUUUUAGAUUGAUCAUGUACUUCAUUUCAUCUUUUAUAAUAUGGCUACAUAUCAGUGAUAUGUUGUUUCAGCAAUAUAUUUCAGGGGAAUACUUUAGAAGAAAUAAUUUUCAAAUUUCUUUAAAUAGAAUUUAUUUCCCAUUUAAUCCAAAAUAACACCUUUGUCACCUUUUUAAAAAAUCGUUCUAACAUCCUUUCUUCACAAAUCUGGUCUUUUUCUCAGGUUGAGAUCUAAAUUUUCCCUUUGCUUCCAAUAACCUCACUCUAAAAUGUAAGCUGAACCAUGAAGUAGAUGGGCAAAAUGCAAAACUGUGUAUUUUAAACAUAGUUAAAUUUUACUUAAUACUGUUAAUUCUCCAUAUAAUAUAACAUUUUUCAUAUAUUUGUCAUAUUUACAACAGUGGCAAGGCUCUAGGAACUACAGCUAAAUCGGGGGGGGCAGCUUUGUGUCUCAUUUUGAUACAAGUAUGUCUCUUAGUCAAAAUUAUUAGGCUAAUGCAUAUGAAAGCUAAGAACCUUUCUGUUAUCAUAUCACUAUUUUUGUUCUAUUGAUUCUUUAGAAACAGUUAAAGACUUCGUAAUUCCAAUCACCUUUUGGAAGAUUUUAAGAAUUGAACCACCAUUCCCAUCAAUCCCAGUCAACAUCUCCAUCUGGAAUAAUCAUGCACAGCAUUUGAAGGUGGGGAGAUCACCAGGCAUAUAUCCCCCAAAAUGGAUGCGUCUACCCGAAAAAAUUAAUCAAAGCUCAAACUGCCCUGGGAGCUGCUGAUCCAGUUCUACAGACGAAUUUCUGAGUCUGUCAUCUGCACCUCUAUAACUGUUUAGUUGGUUCUGCAACCCAACACAACAGACACAGACUUCAGAGGAUCAUUAGAACUGCAGAAAAAACAAUUGCUACCAACCUGCCUUCCAUUGAGGACCUAUAUACUGCGCAAGUCAAAAGGGGCUGUGAAAAUAUCUACAGACCCCUCACAUCCUGGACGUAAAUUGUUUCAACUUCUACCCUCAAAACGACGCACAUCAGAACAACUAGACACAAGGACAGUUUUUCCCCAAAUGCCAUCACUCUGCUUAACAACUAACUCCCACAAUACUGUCAAAUAAUUUAUUAAGACUGUAUUACUAUUAUUCUUCUCUUCCUUACUAGUAUCUAUCUCUUCCCAUUUAUUACUAUAACCAUGUUGCUUGUAUCUUUCAAUUUAUAUUGUUUUUAUUUGUUUCCUAGCACGAUUUGAUAGCUUAUUAGUAACCUUGACUAUCACUAAGUGUUGUAUCUUUUUAUUCUUGAUGAACGUAUUUUAUUCUCAUUUGUCCAUUGAGAGCAUAUACACCAAAGACAAAUUCCUUGUGUAUCCAAUUAUACAUGGCCAAUAAAGAAUUCUACUAGUCUUCUCAGAAUGCCUGUUUGAGGCAUUCACCAAAUGGGAUGAAGAACAGAAUAAUGCCAUCCCUUCCUCA